rnacentral:rRNA from 1 species
GUGCUACAAUGGCGCAUACAAAGAGAAGCGACCUCGCGAGAGCAAGCGGACCUCAUAAAGUGCGUCGUAGUCCGGAUUGGAGUCUGCAACUCGACUCCAUGAAGUCGGAAUCGCUAGUAAUCGUGGAUCAGAAUGCCACGGUGAAUACGUUCCCGGGCCUUGUACACACCGCCCGUCACACCAUGGGAGUGGGUUGCAAAAGAAGUAGGUAGCUUAACCUUCGGGAGGGCGCUUACCACUUUGUGAUUCAUGACUGGGGUGAAGUCGUAACAAGGUAACCGUAGGGGAACCUGCGGUUGGAUCACCUCCUUAUCUUAAAGAAGC